ensembl:snRNA U6 U6 spliceosomal RNA
UUGCUCCAGCAGCACAUACAGUACACUAAACUUGGGACAAAAGAGAAGAUUAGCAUGGCGCUGGCAAGGAUGACACACAUGUUAGGGAGGCAUCCCGUAUUUUU